rnacentral:lncRNA from 1 species
UAUCUCGCUUUUUAAUCACUCUUCUCAAACUAGGGUUCAUCCAAAACUCUUUUCAAAGAUUUUUCUAAGUUAUUAACAUUUAUUAAAUCAUUUCUUCUUCACCUCGACUUAUUUUUACAUGAGUUUUCAAACCAUAGUUGAUUCUAUGUGAUAUACUGGGUUUUUCGAUCUUUGCUUAGAUUUUGGGUCUUUCCGAGUUACCAAUCGUAUUAAUUUACUUUAUAAUUUUGACUUAAGCAUUUUUUUACUUGUUAAAUCCAGUAGUUUUGAUUCUACCCUAAUUAAUCUCUGUUAAGGAUUUGAAUAUGCUUUUUUCGACUAAGUUCUAUGUUUCUAUGAGGUUUUACUUAGUCUGGUUUCUAUUUAUGAAAGCUGAGUAAUUCUUUCUAGAAAUCACCACUCUUUUGAAAAGGCUUGCUAAUUGCUUUAAUCUGUUAAUGAUUCGUACGCAUAGACUUUAUUUGUUUCCUUGUUUGUAACCUUUAUUGGUCAUUUUUGCCUUAAUUACUUGCCUGUAUAAGUUUGGGAUUCUUACUGAUUGUUUAUUUGGUAUGAUUUGGUCUCCUUUGCCUUAGUUAAACCCAUGUUGUUACCGUUAAUGAAUUACCCCUAAUUAGUGGGUCUAUUCCAGACUCACUUAUGUUAAUUGAUUGUGUGACCCUAUGAUUGCCGUUAAUUGACUAAUUGCUGAUUCUUUUACCUUAUUUGUGCUACUCUUGAACUGGUAUAUAAGCACUUUUAUUUUACCUCUCCAAAAGGACAAACACUAUGUUCAGAAUUCACACACUCACACUCAAACUCUCUCUUCUUUCUCUGUUACUUGUGAUAACAAUUGGUCUAGCCAACUGAAAGCUAAGGCUAGACAUUGGAACUACACUUGCUUUACAUUCUUCACUUUCUUCUUUAACUAGUAUGUCUCUAGUUAACUUUUGAAUCUCAAACUCUAUGGGUUCCUUUCCUGCACUAGUUUAAUUGGCUAUGUUCAACUUGUUUCCCUGUUUACUGCUUUAUUUAGCAUGUCUAAGGCUUGUCUUCUAUUGUUCAAUGUGUAAUCAACAUGUCUAAACUUCACUUGGUUAUUUGAUACUUGUCCAGCAUGUUUACCUAGUCCCUGUUUAUCACCCUUUUAGCUAGUGUGAUCAUGUUAGUUACUUAGUCUCCUAAUGCAUUUGAUUAGUCCUAAUUGUAUGCCCAAUUCUGUCCUGUACACCCUUGUCUUCAAUAUGAUUUUGCUAUAUCCUUACUCAAUGUUUCAACUUCCUGUUGCCAUGACUGACUUGUUCAAUGGACUCUGAGUUGUUCUGUGCAUUUGUCAUAUCAAAUGUUUCCUUGUUUAUGUGAUUUCAACCCUAUAUGUUCCCAAUCCCCUUCACCCUUAUUUGUAAGUCUGCUUGUUAAGUGUCUGUGAAGUUGGUAUGCUAUGAUUAAUUGGGUUGUUUGCUGAGUAUGCUUUCCUAAAAAAAUAAUUUCAAAACUAUUGCUCCUACUUUAAUAUUCAUCUAAAAACUGGUCACUCCUAGUAUCUUUUAAAAAUUGUUUUUUGUUUCUGAAUCUUUUCUCUACACCGUUUUACUAAAUCUUUAAAACUAUGUCAAACACACUCACUUUACUCUUAGACUAUUAGGCUAUGGCCCUCUGGUGUGUGUACUGCUUAGGGAUCCUUGAGAUCCCUCUAAACUAUGGCACACCAGGGUUGGCCCUUCCACACUGUACACAACUAAUCCCUAUUUGAGAAAGGUCUUGGUUUGAGCAUUGCUCGGGGAUUUAUGAGGUCCUUAGGGAACUCUGACACAACAAGACACACUAUCGGCUGUGAGAUCUUUGGCUUCUGAGACGCCUGGCAUCCCCAUGUUUACUU